CUAGGCAAUUGAUUUUGAUCAUUUUAACAACCGGGGGAUCAAGGUGGGCAUUGGUACUGUCGUUUCAUUUCUGGGGAGCCGCCCUCACCAAUUGCCUUCCGUAAGUCGAACUUGGGCUUGGAUUGGUUGAAUACUUCAUAUUUGGGGCUUGGGGCUGAGCACUUUCCAGAAGGGCAGAAGAAAAAGUCUAUAACAGUACUGAUAUUCAUGAGAUUCUAAUAAUAUUCCCUCGAUAUUCUUAUUCCAACAGCCAAGUUCCUCUUCCUUCCAUCUUCCAUUUACGCGGCUUGUUCAUCAAAAUGAGAUUCAAGAAUUACAGAGAUUUCCUCAUAUAGAGCUUCAUGCCUUGUAUUUGGUAAAUUCUGCCAUUUUCAUUGACUGUUGGAAUCGGUAGCCAUUUUGUCUACACUGGUUUUAAAUCCAUUAUCAAAUACACUCAUUGUAAGGAGCCAUAGGUUAUAGGUAAGUUGAUAUUGAAGCCAGGAUAAAUUAUGUGUUGUUCCUCUUUACUGUUUAUAUUAAUUUGUUAGUGAUUGUUUGCUUUACUGAUUUCAUAAAAAAGAAAAUUUUACAUUGAACUAUCUUAGGAAAGCCAAGCACUGCUGAAAACUCGUUUUGGUUUUUUAUGUAUACAUUAGUUGCCUCUUUUUAUAUCUCCUUCCUUGUCUUUCAGGAAUUUUUAUAUACCUGAUAGCAAUUCUGCAAUUGAUAACGUUGAAUUCCCAGUUAUUGAAAAUUAUGUUUUUACAGUACUUUGAAA